rnacentral:rRNA from 1 species
UACGUAGGGUGCAAGCGUUGUCCGGAAUUAUUGGGCGUAAAGAGCUCGUAGGCGGUUUGUCGCGUCUGCUGUGAAAACUCGGGGCUUAACCCCGGGCCUGCAGUGGGUACGGGCAGACUAGAGUGCGGUAGGGGAGACUGGAAUUCCUGGUGUAGCGGUGAAAUGCGUAGAUAUCAGGAAGAACACCCGUGGCGAAGGCGGCUCUCUGGGACGGUACUGACGCUGAGACGCGAAAGCGUGGGGAGCGAACAGG